AUAUCGGACUAUUCUACAAAAAAUAAAAAAAGAUUAGGAAUUAUUGUCAUUUACAAUAUGGGCUUGUACGUAUUUGAACUUACUUAAUAAGUAAUACAUGCAGUUGACUAGUAUACAACAUUGAAAUUGAUAAACACUACACAUGUAUAAUUUCUAAUUAUGUACAGCAAUCCGCAGUAUUGCCUAGAUUAUUUGUAAAAUUCAGGAGAGAACCAGUGAUUGCUACCAUCCAUGCAAACAUAAAACAGCAUGAACUGCUGCUGUUCUGAUUUGGGCCUAAAGACCGUCGUUGGUUGGAGUUACUUCCUAACGUUUCGCUAGCACGAGGGGCGAGCUUCUUUGGAGGUCCAGAUCCAGCAGCGAAGAGAAAUUUAGCGAUUAUAUGAAACUGGUAUUAGAAAUUUUCGUGAAGCCCCUUCCAUCAGGUCGAGCCUGAUUCUUUGAGUUCCGUUAACAUACCAAAAAAAUAUUAAAUAAAUAUAUACGAUUAAACAAUCAAUGUAUUUUUACUUCAUCAUACCGCAAGUAUGGAUGCUUAUAUUAUAAUAAAUAAAGUGCAACAAAAUAUAACAAAUAUUAAGCAAGUCAAAAUUAACUUAAGUACAGAGGGCGGCCGUUAGCAAUUUUUUCUGAUAUUCUUAUCACAGAUGUUGAUAUUUGCCUUAAACGUAAAAUUCUUCUAUAAACUGAUUUAGCGUUUUAAGAGUAGCCAACUUUUCUUGUAGUCCUCACUUUAAUAAUUAUCAUCUCAAUAAGCCACAUUACAAGUGUUAGAACUGUCAUCAAGUUCAUCAAGACAACACAUUUUCUAUAAGUGCCAGUUACAUCCUUGAUGAAACCU